rnacentral:tmRNA from 1 species
UCGGAGAAGCUUCCGCAAUUUAUUUUUGGACGCGGGUUCGAUUCCCGCCAGCUCCACCA